rnacentral:lncRNA from 1 species
CUGAACAAAAUCAAUGCCGAAGAAUCCAAGGAGGUAAAUGAAAGAGGCAAUGAGAGAUAGAAUGGCGGCGAGUUCGGAGAGAGUAACGACGUGGAGAGGGGUGGAGUUACGGAUCUUGUCACGCCAGCGAUGGAGAAGGUAAUAAGCAACAGAAAAAAAGAGGGUGAUUCAUGAAUUUCAGAAAGACUUGUGCAGCGAGUUCGGAGAGAGUAACGACGUGGAGAGGGGUGGAGUUACGGAUCUUGUCACGCCAGCGAUGGAGAAGGUAAUAAGCAACAGAAAAAAAGAGGGUGAAGAAAAUGCCGUUGGUUAGGUAUAAAGGAAGAGGAAGGGCAUCGGAAGCUUUAGGGGCAGGGGAAGGAGAACGACGGAGGGCGGCGGAGGAAGCACUUUGAGGGUGGUGUUGAAG